UUUGUGUGUGUGGUGUGUGGAUGCGUGGGACCUGAUCUGGUAGUAGCCAAGCGAUGGGGUGACGCAGGAAGGUAGCCAAGCCACUUAUUGGAUUGUGGUGUAAGCGUGUGGCCCGCGGGAUAGGUAAAUCCGUUUCGUGUGUGGGUGAGGCGUGAUGCGUACCCGUUGUGGGGAUGUUGGUGAUCCUAUGCUGUCGAGAAAAGCCUCUAGUGAGUGCAUGUACGGCCCGUACCGUAAACCGACACAGGUGGUCAGGUAGAGAAUACUAAGGCGUUCGGGUGAACUGUGGUUAAGGAAUUCGGCAAAAUGGCCCCGUAACUUCGGGAGAAGGGGUGCCACUGCUGGUGAACGACGUGUUGAGCUGGUGGUGGUCGCAGAGAAUAGAGGGAAGCGACUGUUUACUAAAAACACAGGUCCGUGCGAAGACUUUAAGUCGAUGUAUACGGACUGACGCCUGCCCGGUGCUGGAAGGUUAAGAGGACCUGUUAGACCUUGGUCGAAGCGGAGAAUUUAAGCCCCAGUAAACGGCGGUGGUAACUAUAACCAUCCUAAGGUAGCGAAAUUCCUUGUCGGGUAAGUUCCGACCUGCACGAAUGGCGUAACGACUUCCCUGCUGUCUCAACCACAGGCCCGGUGAAAUUGCAGUACGAGUAAAGAUGCUCGUUACGCGCGGCAGGACGAAAAGACCCCGGGACCUUCACUAUAGCUUGGUAUUGGUGUUCGGUUCGGUUUGUGUAGGAUAGGUGGGAGACUGUGAAGUAGCCACGCUAGUGGUUGUGGAGUCGUUGGUGAAAUACCACUCUGAUCGGAUUGGGCAUCUGAACCUCGGCCCGUGAUCCGGGUUAGGGACAGUGCCUGGUGGGUAGUUUAACUGGGGCGGUUGCCUCCCAAAGUGUAACGGAGGCGCCCAAAGGUUCCCUCAGCCUGGUUGGCAAUCAGGUGUUGAGUGUAAGUGCACAAGGGAGCUUGACUGUGAGACUGACAGGUCGAGCAGGUACGAAAGUAGGGACUAGUGAUCCGGCACCGGCUUGUGGAAGCGGUGUCGCUCAACGGAUAAAAGGUACCCCGGGGAUAACAGGCUGAUCUUCCCCAAGAGUCCAUAUCGACGGGAUGGUUUGGCACCUCGAUGUCGGCUCGUCGCAUCCUGGGGCUGGAGUAGGUCCCAAGGGUUGGGCUGUUCGCCCAUUAAAGCGGCACGCGAGCUGGGUUUAGAACGUCGUGAGACAGUUCGGUCUCUAUCCGCCGUGCGCGUUGAAACUUGAAGAAGGCUGUCCCUAGUACGAGAGGACCGGGACGGACAUACCUCUGGUGGGCCAGUUGUCACGCCCGUGGCAUGGCUGGUUGGCUACGUAUGGGAGGGAUAACCGCUGAAAGCAUCUAAGCGGGAAGCCUGUUCUGAGAUGAGGUUUCUUUUGAGGUUCCCUAUAGAUUAUGGGGUUGAUAGGCCGGAUCUGGAAGUCAUGUGAGUGAUGGAGGUGACCGGUACUAAUUAGCCGAUGUUCAACACAU
rnacentral:rRNA from 1 species